AUUCAGAGCUUGGUUUGGAGUCUGAUCACUUCCUCACGCACACUCAGGCUAUCUCUUAAAGCAGCAACAUGCACAGGCUUAACCAACGCUGCCUUCUCUCCCUAUUGACUGGAGUGCUGCUGUUAGUUCCUAUCUGCUGGGGAGAAUAUAGAGAUAAUUAUGACUACAGCGAGACAACCGGAACACCAGACUACGACUACAACUCCACCUUUGAAUACAACUUUUACAGUAAUGUUAGUACCGAUGAACUGGAGCAGUUUCUAAGCAAUAAUGACAUAGGUGAAAAUACGGCAGAGGACGAAAUCACCACAGUAUCGACCACUGACAGCACCACGGUCUCAGCUAAGGGCUCCAGGAUCACACCUCCUUGUUUUCUGCUCACCCUGGGCUUGACCGUACACCAGCUAGGCCAACUCCUAUGAGAGGAACCAUUGCCACCAGGACACACACACUAAAAGACACAGAGGAGACAUCAGUGGUUAUGACCAUUACAUGAAGGGAAGAGCUUGAAAGGAUGGAAGGACAGGACUCAACACUUACCAGCAGUGACCAAUGAGCAUGUUUCACCUGAACUUAAACAAUUCAGAGAUCCUCUCAGAAUCGAGGACUGCUCUCCCUCAGGACCUGAGGCCCAAACCAGAGACGACCACAGCUUCCACCGGCUAAUGUCACCAAAAACAUCCCCGAUAGUAUUCUAUAGAAGUUGAAACGUGAAAAACACAACAUGGGAUGAAUCACUAGAUGUGUUAAGACACACACAACAAACAUAUAGUAAACACUA